ACCACUUUGACAAAUGUCAUUUCUAAUCCAUAACUUUUCCAAAUUUCCAGUAGUAAAAAACCUUUUUUCAAAAUCUGGUAAAUAUGGGUCCUAUUCAACUACCACAUCGCACAACAUUCCAGAUAUCAUCAAAUGCACUCUUAUUCCUGGUGACGGCGUAGGUCCUGAGCUUAUUCUCUCCGUGCAGGAAGUUUUCAACGCUGCUAAAGUCCCUAUCACAUUUGAACCUCUCUUUUUCUCCGAAGUGAACCCUUCUUUGAGCACCCCACUGGAAACAGUCGCCGAAUCGAUUCGCAAAAAUGGCGUUUGUCUUAAAGGAAUAACUGCAUAUCCUGACUAUAGCCGCACCGGCGAACUCCAGAACCUCAACAUGAAACUGCGACAAACUCUAGACUUCUAUGCUAACGUCGUCCACGUGCAGUCUCUUCCGGGAGUAAAAACAAGACACAACAAUCUAGAUCUGGUAGUCAUAAGAGAACAAACAGAGGGCGAAUAUUCCGCCUUGGAGCACGAAAGUGUCAAAGGUAUGGUAGAGUGUUUGAAGAUCGUGACAGCGAAGAAAUCACGAAGAAUUGCGAAGUUUGCAUUCGACUAUGCGACGAAGAAUAAGAGGAAGAAAGUGACUUGUGUUCACAAAGCCAAUAUUAUGAAGCUAGGGGAUGGUUUGUUCUUGAAGUGUUGUGAAGAAAUGUCUCUUCUCUACCCCAGACUGGAGUUCAAGUCCAUGAUUAUCGAUAACUGUACCAUGCAACUGAUCACAAAGCCGGAACAAUUUGAUGUGAUAGUUGUGCCCAAUUUGUAUGGGAGCAUUCUUGAUAAUUUAUGCUCGGGAUUGGUUGGAGGCGCAGGAGUGGUGGCUGGAGCUUCGUACUCAGCAAAGAGUGCCGUGUUUGAACCGGGUGCCCGUCAUACUUAUUCGGAAGCUGUUGGCAAGAAUGUAGCUAAUCCCACUGCGAUGCUUCUGUGCUCUGUACUCCUUCUGCGUCACGUCAAUCUUACUUUUUACAGUGAGAUGAUUAGUAAUGCUGUGAGAAAUGUUUUGAAAGAGGGAAAAAUACGAACUAAAGACAUUGGGGGCCAUUCGAGCACUCAUGAUUUCACAGGCGCUGUUAUUAAUAAAUUACAACUUACACCACCGAAGACCAAAGGUUGAGAGACUUCGAUUUUUUUCUACUUUGAAGACAAAUAUACGACAAUAUUAAGCGAAAAGAAUACGAAUACUGAACGUCGGUCACAAACAAACGUGUAUUUGUAAAACACAAUAAAAUUUAGUGACAUUGUAUUCAACAGUUGGUAACACAUCUUUAACUGAUCAUGAUUAUUACACAGGAUUUUUGAGGCAUCCUAUGUAAGAAUUAAAAGAAAACAUGGAUUGAGGCACCAAUAAAGGAGCAAAUUAUACUGUACAUAUUGAAGU